GGGGAUUUCGGUUGUUUUCAUCUCCCAACCCCUGUGACAUACCUAUACGUUGCCUCGGCGGAUCAGCCCGCGCCCCGUAAAACGGGACGGCCCGCCCGAGGACCCCUAAACUCUGUUUUUAGUGGAACUUCUGAGUAAAACAAACAAAUAAAUCAAAACUUUCAACAACGGAUCUCUUGGUUCUGGCAUCGAUGAAGAACGCAGCAAAAUGCGAUAAGUAAUGUGAAUUGCAGAAUUCAGUGAAUCAUCGAAUCUUUGAACGCACAUUGCGCCCGCCAGUAUUCUGGCGGGCAUGCCUGUUCGAGCGUCAUUUCAACCCUCAAGCUCAGCUUGGUGUUGGGACUCGCGGUAACCCGCGUUCCCCAAAUCGAUUGGCGGUCACGUCGAGCUUCCAUAGCGUAGUAAUCAUACACCUCGUUACUGGUAAUCGUCGCGGCCACGCCGUAAAACCCCAACUUCUGAAUGUUGACCUCGGAUCAGGUAGGAAUACCCGCUGAACUUAAGCAUAUCAAAUAAGUCGGAGGAA
rnacentral:rRNA from 1 species